UCUUGUUGCGGCAAAAAUAUCACGAAUACUUUUGGAGGAAGACAGCACACAUUGACAGGAAUACGGCAAAGUCACGCACACUUUCAUUUAUUUGGAGAAGUCAAUUAAAGAAGGGUCAAAAUCUCACUGUAGGUGGAUUAAUCCGGGUUUUUUUUAAAUGGAACAUGUUAUGGGGGGACCAUAAUACUUAUAUAAACAAACUCCUGGUGACUCCUUUUAUUAUCACAUGGUUACAUUACAUUUGACCAAAAGCCAAUGCUUCUCCACACUUCGUGAUCUCCGCUUUAUUGCCGACGAAACUGAUUUUCAUACCGACUCUUGCUACCCGAUUCACCGAAAACAAAUUGCAGCUGAGUCCAGCCAAUACUUGAAAGCAUCCUGGAAAAUGACGGUUUCUAAAUUCCGUCAUUUUUCUUUUCAUACGGCCAGGCCAACUACGCAGUAUGUACCGCAGAGAUGAUUUCUAGAUACUGAGCGACCUCAGAAUUUAUAAACCCUUAAAGUCGAUCCAUACCAUGAAACCGAGGGGAUAGGAAGAAAGCGUGGACCUCCCGUACCAAACGCUUCCAGUUAGUAUAAAUAGUAAUCAAAUAUUAUAUUAAUAAUUUUUUCGUUGGGAGCGAAGCUAUUUAAAAGUCAUGAAAUGCUCCAUUCGGCAAGUGAUGGUUGACGUCGUGUUCAAAAUAACUACAUUCACUAUAAAUAAGAAAAGAAGAAAAUCAUCAUUAGUAGGCGGUAACGUCAGCUUCUUUCCUCGGUAACAGUGUGAUGACAAU